rnacentral:sRNA from 1 species
UGGAUAAAUAUACGUUUUAUACACGGCUUGUUUUUUGAAAAAAUGUUUUAAUGUUGCGAAUAGGACUAUGAAAACAACUUUUUUUGUGACGUGUUAUUUUUAAAUGUAUAGAAUAGUGUAUAUAAACACAUAAUGUGAAUUUUUGAGCAUUGAUAAAUAUGUUUCACUCAGAUUAUGGUGACAAAAAAUGCUUUUUUAGGCAAAAAUAGGUCGUUCAUGACAAGAAUCGGACAUUUCAUUACA